rnacentral:rRNA from 1 species
CCCGGUAAACGGCGGCCGUAACUAUAACGGUCCUAAGGUAGCGAAAUUCCUUGUCAGGUAAGUUCUGACCCGCACGAAUGGCGUAAUGAUUUGGGCACUGUCUCGACAGCCCGCCCGGCGAAAUUGUAGUACUGGUGAAGAUGCCAGUUACCCGCAACUAGACGGAAAGACCCCAUGGAGCUUUACUGCAGUUUAAUACUGGGAAUCGGUAAUUCAUGUACAGGAUAGGUGGGAGACUGGGAAGCAUGGCCGUCAGGUCGUGUGGAGUCACCGGUGGGAUACCACUCUUGGAUUGCUGGUUUCCUAACCUGCGGCCCUGAAUCGGGUCGGGGGACACUGUUAGACGGGCAGUUUGACUGGGGCGGUCGCCUCCAAAAGAGUAACGGAGGCGCUCAAAGGUUCGUUCAGCACGGACGGAAAUCGUGCAUUGAGUGUAAACGCAUAAACGAGCCUAACUGCGAGACCGACGGGUCGAGCAGUAACGAAAGUUGGAGUUAGUGAUCCGGUGGUAUGUGAGUGGAAAUGCCAUCGCUCAACGGAUAAAAGCUACCCUGGGGAUAACAGGCUGAUCUCCCCCAAGCGUCCACAGCGACGGGGAGGUUUGGCACCUCGAUGUCGGCUCGUCGCAUCCUGGGGCUGUAUUCGGUCCCAAGGGUUUGGCUGUUCGCCAAUUAAAGCGGCACGCGAGCUGGGUUCAGAACGUCGUGAGACAGUUCGGUCCCUAUCUGUUGCGGGCGUAAGAGAUUUGAAGGGAGCUGUCCUUAGUACGAGAGGACCGGGAUGGACGUACCUCUGGUGCACCAGUUGUCCUGCCAAGGGCAUAGCUGGGUAGCUAUGUACGGACGAGAUAAACGCUGAAAGCAUCUAAGCGUGAAACUCUCCCUAAGAUGAGAUCUCUCAUCCAUUAUGGAGUAAGGGCCCAGAAAGACGAUCUGGUUGAUAGGCCGGAGGUGGAAGCACGGUAACGUGUGUAGCUGACCGGUACUAAUAGCCCGAGGGCUUGACCUA